GGAGAGGUGGCCGAGUGGUUGAAGGCGCGCCCCUGCUAAGGGCGUAUGCGGAAACGUAUCGAGGGUUCGAAUCCCUUCCUCUCCU
rnacentral:tRNA from 2 species